rnacentral:lncRNA from 1 species
CUUGGUUUUGCGUCAUUGUUACUCUCUUGAGGAGAUUCCUUCUUGUUUCAGAGACAUCUCUUCUCUAAAAUCCAUUGUGGUAAGGAUAUGCAAUGAUUCUGUUGACAAGUCAGCAAGGGAUAUUUGGGAAACACAAGUUGAAGAUUAUCAGAAUUCAGAGUUCCGGAUCUCUAUCACUAGCAAAGCUUGAAAUGUUAUUAAAGGGCGUCAAAAUAUAUAAAAGUGAACGUACGAAAAAAAUCAAGAGGAGUCAACAUAUAGUGUAUAUACAUAUAAUUUUUUUACUACAUAGUGUAUUUUUCCCGCCAAGGUAUGUUUGCUAUAAAGUGGCUCCGCCACUCAUGGGCGGAUCUAGCGCGUAGUAUACGGGUUCCCAGGAACCCAAUAACUUUUGCGUAGACCCUGUAUUUUUAUUAAAAAAUUUAUUAAAUAUCUAUUUGUGAACCCAGUUAUUAUUGUAUAUUAAUUUGAAAUUGCGACAGGAAUCCAUAAACUUAAAAUCCUGCAUCCGCCUCUGCCGCCACUAGGGAUGUUCAAAACCGAUCCGAAACCGAAAACCGAAUCGAAACCGAAGCUUAAUGGCUUAUUGGUAUCGGGUUAACGGUUUAACGAACGGGGAACGGAUUGAAUUUUUUUUAUUAACGUCUUAUCGGUUUGGGGGCGGAUUAUUCAAUUUUCUUAACAGAUAAUCCGUUAACCCGUUAAGAAUAUAUAUAUAUAUAUAUAUAUAUAUAUAUAUAUAUAUUAUAUUUUUAUCCAUAUAUAUAUUAAAUAUCAAAAACCCUUCCACUUCCAGAGAUUGCACUGUUGAAGAUCCAUUCGGAGAUUGCACUAUUGAAGAACUUGAAGAAUGACAACAUCAUAGUACUAUAUCAUGUCGGAAAGACAAUGAACAUAACAUCCUCAAUUUCAUAACUGAGGAAUGUGCCUCUAGUAAUUUGAGGGAUUAUACGAAGAAGCAUCGUCAUGUUUCGAUUAAGGCGUUGAAGAAGUGGUCUAGGCAAAUACUACAGGGCUUGGAUUAUCUACACACUCAUGACCCUUGUGUUAUUCAUAGAGAUCUCAAUUGCAGUAACAUCUUUAGCAAUGGCAAUGUUGGAAAGGUAAUGAAUCAACUCAUUCAGUUUAUCUUCGGUUAAUGUAGCCUAUAAUGUACAAUGUGUUCUACUUUUUUCACUCUCCAACACAUGACACACUACAUCAUUCUUAUGUAGGCGUUAACAGACAUGUAUGUCUGGACUCAUGUGUAAUUUCGAUUUCUGAAUUUAUAUGCUAGGCUGCUAGCAAAAAAUUAAUGCACGCAAUAUAGAUUGAAUUAGGCCGAUAAACCGCCCCGUAACCGCCCAAUAAGAGCUAAACCAAUACCAAUCCGCCCGAUAUCUUAUCGGGUGGCUAGCAGAUUAAUAUAUUUAAAAGCCGAUAAGCGAUAAGCCAAACCAUUAAGAGUAAAUAACCGCCCCCGAUAAGCAGCCCUAGCCGCCACUGAUCUCUAUCUUCUAGAGGGAUGUUUAUGGUCCUAUGAAGUGAAAACCAUAUUGGUUUAACUGGUGUUAUUUGGGUGUUGCUACUGGUUUCAUUUUGUUGCGCCAUCAAUUUGGCGCUGUUAAAUUGGUUUACUGACGUGAGAAAUUGAUAUCAUACCUUGGUUCGGAAACAUGUGGUAGUGUUAUCGUCUGAAGUCGUGCUGACCUCGCAAUGUUUUUGUUGCUACUUUCCUCUUCCUUUCGUAAUUAUCUCAGAUCUAUUACUUAUGAUGAGAUACUGGUGGGAGGUUUUACUGAUUAUG